UAUUUGAAGAAUCAAAUGAAAAUAUUCUCGAAUAUCAUCCAAAGAUGUUGAAAGAAUUCCUGGAAGGAACAGAGUCAGCUGGUUUCAUGUAUCCAAGUGCCGUUGAUCAGUUUAAAAAGCAGUUUGCAUACCUUGAAGAACAUUAUGGAAAUGGAGCUCUCUCCGCGUCCUCUCUCUGGCACCCUCUCCGACCUCCCUCUCGCGAGCCCCAAUGCCCUCUCCCUGGUGCUGCCUGUUCGACGAAAUGCCGAGGUGAUCAUGGGGCUCUCAGCGGGCAUCGGAGAGGUUUCUAAAGUUUGUCUUAUCCGAUUCAAAUUUGCAUGGAUGAGAACGCAAAAUAAUAGUGUAAAAUAACUGCUUAUUCAAAGGGCACUAAAGGAGCAAAAAAA